rnacentral:misc_RNA from 1 species
GAUGAAGAACGUAGCAAAAUGCGAUAAGUAAUGCGAAUUGCAGAAUUCAGUGAAUCAUCGAAUCUUUGAACGCACAUUGCGCCCGCCAGUAUUCUGGCGGGCAUGCCUGUUCGAGCGUCAUUUCAACCAUCAAGCCCCCGGCUUGUGUUGGGGACCUGCGGCUGCCGCAGGCCCUGAAAAGCAGUGGCGGGCUCGCUGUCACACCGAGCGUAGUAGCAUACAUCUCGCUCUGGGCGUGCUGCGGGUUCCGGCCGUUAAACCACCUUCAUAACCCAAGGUUGACCUCGGAUCAGGUAGGAAGACCCGCUGAACUUAAGCAUAUCAAUAAGCGGAGGA